CGCUGAGUUUGAUCCUGGCUCAGGAUGAACGCUAGCGGCAGGCUUAACACAUGCAAGUCGAGGGGUAUAGUUCUUCGGAGUUAGAGACCGGCGCACGGGUGCGUAACGCGUAUGCAAUCUACCUUCACAGAGGGAUAGCCCAGAGAAAUUUGGAUUAAUACCUCAUAGUAUGUGAGAAUCGCAUGGUUUUCACAUUAAAGUUCCAACGGUAAAAGAUGAGCAUGCGUCCCAUUAGCUAGUUGGUAAGGUAA
rnacentral:rRNA from 1 species